GGGGCGGAGCUCGCCCCUGUAGCCCACGUCCGAGGUUGUGUUUGGUGACAGACUUUUAGUCUAAAAUUUGUGGAGCUGAAAUAAACCUUAAAGAAAAAAGCUUAAGGUUUCAUCUGGUUGAGAGUCUUGGUGGCUUAAUCUGUGGGAUCCCUGAAAGCUCAUAAGCGAAGAUAUGGCAGCGGCUCAAGACUCUUGUGAGCAUCAAAAGAGAUGACAUAUGCAAGACUAUUCCAAUUCUUAAGGACCAUACAAGUUUUCUUUAUUAUCUUCCACACCAUAAGGGUCCCUAUAAAAAAGAGCUUAGGAUCCUUGAAAAUGAAAAUGAGGUUGUGUAUUGUGUGGUGAAAGUGUCAACAGUAGACUGGGAAGCAAAUGGGAAAUCUUGGAGUGGUCUGCCUGCUAUGUAGGUGGUUCUCAAUUUAGUUGGCACCCACAUCCCUUUAUAUAUGCUGAAUAGCAUUUUUAAAAAUACUGUUCUGUAAUGAGUAUCAUGGAUAAUAUAAUCCAUCUAUACACAUCAUCUUUUAAAAAACCAAAACAAGAAAACAUCCCAGCUGUAAUGUAAAGGAGAAACAUUGCAAAAUAACAAAAUAAUAUAUAUUUCAAGAUAUAAAGGCUAA